rnacentral:rRNA from 1 species
GGUUAAGCGACUAAGCGUACACGGUGGAUGCCCUGGCAGUCAGAGGCGAUGAAGGACGUGCUAAUCUGCGAUAAGCGUCGGUAAGGUGAUAUGAACCGUUAUAACCGGCGAUUUCCGAAUGGGGAAACCCAGUGUGUUUCGACACACUAUCAUUAACUGAAUCCAUAGGUUAAUGAGGCGAACCGGGGGAACUGAAACAUCUAAGUACCCCGAGGAAAAGAAAUCAACCGAGAUUCCCCCAGUAGCGGCGAGCGAACGGGGAGCAGCCCAGAGUCUGAAUCAGUGUGUGUGUUAGUGGAAGCGUCUGGAAAGGCGCGCGAUACAGGGUGACAGCCCCGUACACAAAAAUGCACAUGCUGUGAGCUCGAUGAGUAGGGCGGGACACGUGGUAUCCUGUCUGAAUAUGGGGGGACCAUCCUCCAAGGCUAAAUACUCCUGACUGACCGAUAGUGAACCAGUACCGUGAGGGAAAGGCGAAAAGAACCCCGGCGAGGGGAGUGAAAAAGAACCUGAAACCGUGUACGUACAAGCAGUGGGAGCACGCUUAGGCGUGUGACUGCGUACCUUUUGUAUAAUGGGUCAGCGACUUAUAUUCUGUAGCAAGGUUAACCGAAUAGGGGAGCCGAAGGGAAACCGAGUCUUAACUGGGCGUUAAGUUGCAGGGUAUAGACCCGAAACCCGGUGAUCUAGCCAUGGGCAGGUUGAAGGUUGGGUAACACUAACUGGAGGACCGAACCGACUAAUGUUGAAAAAUUAGCGGAUGACUUGUGGCUGGGGGUGAAAGGCCAAUCAAACCGGGAGAUAGCUGGUUCUCCCCGAAAGCUAUUUAGGUAGCGCCUCGUGAAUUCAUCUCCGGGGGUAGAGCACUGUUUCGGCAAGGGGGUCAUCCCGACUUACCAACCCGAUGCAAACUGCGAAUACCGGAGAAUGUUAUCACGGGAGACACACGGCGGGUGCUAACGUCCGUCGUGAAGAGGGAAACAACCCAGACCGCCAGCUAAGGUCCCAAAGUCAUGGUUAAGUGGGAAACGAUGUGGGAAGGCCCAGACAGCCAGGAUGUUGGCUUAGAAGCAGCCAUCAUUUAAAGAAAGCGUAAUAGCUCACUGGUCGAGUCGGCCUGCGCGGAAGAUGUAACGGGGCUAAACCAUGCACCGAAGCUGCGGCAGCGACACUGUGUGUUGUUGGGUAGGGGAGCGUUCUGUAAGCCUGUGAAGGUGUACUGUGAGGUAUGCUGGAGGUAUCAGAAGUGCGAAUGCUGACAUAAGUAACGAUAAAGCGGGUGAAAAGCCCGCUCGCCGGAAGACCAAGGGUUCCUGUCCAACGUUAAUCGGGGCAGGGUGAGUCGACCCCUAAGGCGAGGCCGAAAGGCGUAGUCGAUGGGAAACAGGUUAAUAUUCCUGUACUUGGUGUUACUGCGAAGGGGGGACGGAGAAGGCUAUGUUGGCCGGGCGACGGUUGUCCCGGUUUAAGCGUGUAGGCUGGUUUUCCAGGCAAAUCCGGAAAAUCAAGGCUGAGGCGUGAUGACGAGGCACUACGGUGCUGAAGCAACAAAUGCCCUGCUUCCAGGAAAAGCCUCUAAGCAUCAGGUAACAUCAAAUCGUACCCCAAACCGACACAGGUGGUCAGGUAGAGAAUACCAAGGCGCUUGAGAGAACUCGGGUGAAGGAACUAGGCAAAAUGGUGCCGUAACUUCGGGAGAAGGCACGCUGAUAUGUAGGUGAAGUCCCUCGCGGAUGGAGCUGAAAUCAGUCGAAGAUACCAGCUGGCUGCAACUGUUUAUUAAAAACACAGCACUGUGCAAACACGAAAGUGGACGUAUACGGUGUGACGCCUGCCCGGUGCCGGAAGGUUAAUUGAUGGGGUUAGCCGCAAGGCGAAGCUCUUGAUCGAAGCCCCGGUAAACGGCGGCCGUAACUAUAACGGUCCUAAGGUAGCGAAAUUCCUUGUCGGGUAAGUUCCGACCUGCACGAAUGGCGUAAUGAUGGCCAGGCUGUCUCCACCCGAGACUCAGUGAAAUUGAACUCGCUGUGAAGAUGCAGUGUACCCGCGGCAAGACGGAAAGACCCCGUGAACCUUUACUAUAGCUUGACACUGAACAUUGAGCCUUGAUGUGUAGGAUAGGUGGGAGGCUUUGAAGUGUGGACGCCAGUCUGCAUGGAGCCGACCUUGAAAUACCACCCUUUAAUGUUUGAUGUUCUAACGUUGACCCGUAAUCCGGGUUGCGGACAGUGUCUGGUGGGUAGUUUGACUGGGGCGGUCUCCUCCUAAAGAGUAACGGAGGAGCACGAAGGUUGGCUAAUCCUGGUCGGACAUCAGGAGGUUAGUGCAAUGGCAUAAGCCAGCUUGACUGCGAGCGUGACGGCGCGAGCAGGUGCGAAAGCAGGUCAUAGUGAUCCGGUGGUUCUGAAUGGAAGGGCCAUCGCUCAACGGAUAAAAGGUACUCCGGGGAUAACAGGCUGAUACCGCCCAAGAGUUCAUAUCGACGGCGGUGUUUGGCACCUCGAUGUCGGCUCAUCACAUCCUGGGGCUGAAGUAGGUCCCAAGGGUAUGGCUGUUCGCCAUUUAAAGUGGUACGCGAGCUGGGUUUAGAACGUCGUGAGACAGUUCGGUCCCUAUCUGCCGUGGGCGCUGGAGAACUGAGGGGGGCUGCUCCUAGUACGAGAGGACCGGAGUGGACGCAUCACUGGUGUUCGGGUUGUCAUGCCAAUGGCACUGCCCGGUAGCUAAAUGCGGAAGAGAUAAGUGCUGAAAGCAUCUAAGCACGAAACUUGCCCCGAGAUGAGUUCUCCCUGACUCCUUGAGAGUCCUGAAGGAACGUUGAAGACGACGACGUUGAUAGGCCGGGUGUGUAAGCGCAGCGAUGCGUUGAGCUAACCGGUACUAAUGAACCGUGAGGCUUAACCUU